CCCUGGGCGACUACCCUCAAAUACCUCAGGCCAGACCUGUGGAAGGAUUUGGGGCAAGAAACGGGUACCUUUUACUAGAUUUGUAUUCUGCGGAAACCCAGAUACAAGUUGGGCAUACAUAACCAUAAAAAAAAUUUACCUGAGGUCAACCGCAAUCUGGAAGCACAUGAUCCUUCCUCUGAUGAAUUAUUAGAAUUAUUAGACGGUCAAUAGUCACCUAACACGAUGCCUGCAUCAUUCAGGUCACUUUAUCUCAUCAUAUAAGCAUUUUGCCAUCUCAUGUCAUCACAAAAAGAAGGGACAAUAAAUUGUCUUUGAAUCUUUCAUCUGGCAUUUCUGAGGGGGUCAGCGUUAUGUUGUCCCCAGGGCCAUUUGGAAAGCCUCUACCUGUACAUUACAACCUAUUUGAUGCUGCUAGAGGUUUCAGGCCUUCAUAGGAGCUCCACACCCUGCCAUUCUUCUUCCUUCUCCACACCUGUCAGAGCCCCAAUUUUUGUUUAACUGACAAGACUGAGAGUGUGCUAAACAGGAAAUAGAAGUGGCUCUGCACUAAGGACUAAAUCUGCUCUCCCCUUCUGGACAUAAAGUUUGGGCUCAACUUCUCCAGGGAUCUGAGCCAGUGGCGCCAGCAUUCAUGUGACUGGAAACGGAAGGCAAGCGAAUGCAUGUGGAGCCAGUGACUAUGAAGUCAGUCUCAUUAAAUUUACUCAGUUUUCCUCAAGUCUUAAAGCAUGAAGCAUUACAAACCUUCAUAUGUACACUAGGGAAAGAAAGGAAGAAAAAAAAGAACUCCAGGGCAAGACCUAAGGAAAAGCCUGUGGAAAGAACACAGCAAGGAUUAUACUAAGAAAAAGAAGAAAGAACAUACAAGUUUCAAACUAAGUUCCAUAUUAGCAACAGGAUCGUCUUUUUGUCUUGGGUCCCACACCUUCACAGUUCCUGUUGUGCAUACAAGCGAGUUGGCAAAAUUCAAUAGUGAUUGAUGACAUUUAUUUUCUGCAUUCUCUUCCUAUGACUUCCUGUGUAUAUGGCCAUAUUAUAGAUAACAUAACACUUGAAAAAAAAUAUUCAUAUAUUUCUGACUUCUACUUGGGCAAGUUGUAUUUAAUAUCAGAGAUAUAACCCAUAUGUUACUGUCGGACUUGAUUUCCAACUUAAUAGAUACACAGAAAAGCCAACAACUGUUCUGAAGUUAUCAACAAGGUAUGACUGACAAGGGAAACACAAAUGUUACUAAUUCAGAUCAUGUCUUUCUUUGAGCCUAAACCUAAUGUACUAUUUAUUUAGAAUAAUAUCAGUGUCAUUUUAAUUUUUUUCCAUACUACCCAUAUAAUCAUUGCCAUUUUUCUUCUACAGAUGAACAAAUUCUAAUUUUUACAUUUAUGAUUUCUUAUAUGGGGUUUUAGAAUACUAUCUCACAUACAAUUAAGUUUAAUUUCCCUGUGGCAAUAGAGAUGAGGGAAAUAUUAAAUAAAAUUAACACAUAUUUCUUCUCAAUGCUUCUCCUUUUAAUGCAAAUUGCAGGACUACUAACUAAACUCAUCACUGCCUAUGAGAAAUACAAAUGCAUUUAAUAAAAUGGCUAAAAGGCAAGUACUUAAGAGAGAACAGGAAAAGGGCAAAAAAUCCUUAAAAGAGAUAAUAAACUCAGGAAAAGGGGAGAUAUCCCACUAGAUUAUCUCCAAGGAUAAAAUAAAGUCAGUCAUUAAAAAGGCCACUUUAAGGAGAAAAGAAAUUCUCACAAAUGUGAACCCUCUAGAGGGUUCAUACAAAUUGAUAAGAUUCAUAUGAAAUUUGCAAUAGUUAAAUGAGCAAAGAACAUAAACAGACAAUUCACAAAGCAAAACUAACUGAUAAAUACAGAAAGAAGUUAAGACAAAUUGGAAUGGACUACUAUUUUUAUCUAUAAAUUUAGAGGAAAAAAGGAAAAUCAAUGCUGGUAGGGUAGACUGGAAAUCCACCUCAUCUACUGUAGCUCAGAAUGUACAUGGGUACUUUGGAAAGUCUGACAAUAAAUUUUAAAAAUCACAAAAUAUGCUUAUUCUAAAAAGUUAUAUACAUGAUGAUACUCAUUCCUUCAUUAUUUUAAAGUCACUCUCCCAAAACAAUAAACAAAAGCUUAAAGCAAACUGAAUGCUUAACAAAGACAUGGUUAAGGACACCUGUGAUACAUCCAUAGCAUAUAAUAUUACAUAGUCAUUAGAAUGGUAAUGAUGGAAACAGCAACAUUUGCAUAUGACAAAACACAAAAUAAAAAAAGACAAAAAUCAUAUCCACACUGACAACUAUACAAAAUUGUAUAUAAGACUGGAAAGGAAAACAAAGCUAAGGGUUAUGCUACUGUGGUAGAUUGAAUGCUAUUUUUCCUCCCAUUUUUCAUAGUGCUUUAAUGAUUAAAAGGAAUAACUGAUUUCUAAAACACAGACACUUGAAUAACUGUUAGAGAAAUAUAUCUCACUUUUCUUUUACAACAAUUUCCUCAUGGUCUUGAGCAGCCAUUAAAAACUAGCCAAAAAAAGAAGAUAGCAGGAGAGGAAGA